CAUUAAGUGGCUGAAAUACCCUAAGCAAUGGUCUCUUAAACCAAACUAUGGUAAAUAUAUUACCCUUAAUGA
rnacentral:tRNA from 1 species